rnacentral:rRNA from 1 species
ACGCUGGCGGCAGGCCUAACACAUGCAAGUCGAGCGGUAGAGAGAAGCUUGCUUCUCUUGAGAGCGGCGGACGGGUGAGUAAUGCCUAGGAAUCUGCCUGGUAGUGGGGGAUAACGUUCGGAAACGGACGCUAAUACCGCAUACGUCCUACGGGAGAAAGCAGGGGACCUUCGGGCCUUGCGCUAUCAGAUGAGCCUAGGUCGGAUUAGCUAGUUGGUGGGGUAAUGGCUCACCAAGGCGACGAUCCGUAACUGGUCUGAGAGGAUGAUCAGUCACACUGGAACUGAGACACGGUCCAGACUCCUACGGGAGGCAGCAGUGGGGAAUAUUGGACAAUGGGCGAAAGCCUGAUCCAGCCAUGCCGCGUGUGUGAAGAAGGUCUUCGGAUUGUAAAGCACUUUAAGUUGGGAGGAAGGGCAGUUGCCUAAUACGUAACUGUUUUGACGUUACCGACAGAAUAAGCACCGGCUAACUCUGUGCCAGCAGCCGCGGUAAUACAGAGGGUGCAAGCGUUAAUCGGAAUUACUGGGCGUAAAGCGCGCGUAGGUGGUUUGUUAAGUUGGAUGUGAAAUCCCCGGGCUCAACCUGGGAACUGCAUUCAAAACUGACUGACUAGAGUAUGGUAGAGGGUGGUGGAAUUUCCUGUGUAGCGGUGAAAUGC